CACAGCCAAACCAUAUGACAGCCCAUGAGCAGGACAAGCUGGAAGGGCUGUAAAGUUAAUGACCCUGGAGUGGCUCUCAAGCAAUGAUGGUGGGAGGUUGGUUGGUAAGGAUCGCAGCUUCCUAGUCCCUCAUUUGGAAUAGCUCUGAGGAGUGUUCCACACUGUCUCCUGGAGUUCCCAGUGGGAUUGUGUUCCAGUUGCCCAUAGUGAUAAAUGCAUGAAAAUGUACGCUUUAUUGGCUUUUUAUUCUCUCCCUUCUCACUUCCCUACUUUCCUAUCAGUUUCCUGGUGUUGCCUUCCAAUGAGACUCUUUGCACCAAAUCUGUACCUCAGGAUGUGCUUUUGGGGGAGCCCAAACCAAGAUAGCCUCAUCCAAGUGUUUGGCUGGGGUCUCCCAGCCUCUUGUUUCUUCUGCCUCUCUGAAUUUCCACAUCUCCAACCACAAUUCCAAUCCUCAAAUUUAGAGAUUAUUUUUCUAAUAUUAUUUUUCUAUUUUAGGGAUUAUUCGGCUACUACUUCAGUGUGAAACAGACACCUUGUUGUCCUCAAAUAUUUCUAUUGCAUUCUACUUGGGGUAGCAAGGAAGUGGGUAUUGAGAAGUAAUGAUUAUCAGUGCCAGGAAGGGGAAAAACUGUCAAAACACCAUUUCUCUGCAGAGUUCAAGACUUCAAUCCCCUUGACAACCAAUUCCUAAACAACAUCAGGGAGUUCCAUUUGGGCUAGAGUUUGUGCAGGUUACUGCGGUUUGAUCACUCUAUAAGGUGGGAAACUCUCCAGCACCAGUCCUCCAGUAUGGUAAGGCAGGACAGCAGCCCAUGGAAGCCAGUACAUCAGCCCACUUCUGUUUUAAUAUUGCUGAGUUGCCUUUAUUUGAAAAAAAUAAAAAUGAAGAGAACAGAGGUGGCAGGAUAUUUUUGAAUCAGGUCUCAUCUGCAUAGGUCUAGCCAGGUAGGGCCAAUUAUUUGUCCUCCAGGAAUUCUGAAUGACUGACUUACGCCUGAGACUAUGAGUUCUUGCACGGCAGGAAUUGUAUCUUUUCCUCUUGCUCCAGUGACCAGGUCAGUGUUUGGCAAAUGGAAGUGCUUGAUGUGUUUGUUGAGUGAGUGAGUGAGUGAAUGAAUAAAUGAAUAAAUAUCUCUCUCUCUAGAUGCUAAAUGGUGGGGAUUCUGGAAUCUAUCGAAUUGGUUGUUAACAUGGCCAUCCCAUGUGCUGUUGACUGACCCCAUAUGGGACUGCUUUGAUUUCCUACAACACUGCUAAUAUUCAGGAUAUUACUGUAUCAACUGUCUUCCAAUAGAGUUGCUUUUGUAGUUUGAUUUGGAAACAGUGCUGUAUUACUUCAAAUGAUUGUGAAAUAAUAAAACAAACAAUAACCUGAAAUGCCAGAAAACA
rnacentral:lncRNA from 1 species